AGUGCAUCAGAAGGGACAGUACACACCAUCUUUCAUUCCCACCAUUCUUUGUGAAGAGGAAUCCAAAUGUUCUUUGGCCUGAUCGAGUUCUUAUGGGUGCCUUGAGCCAUCCUAGGAGGCAUCCCAAGUAACAACAUUAAGAACGUAUAAAUGUUUGAACUGUGCAGACUUCUUGUUGUGAGAAAAAAAGCCUGCAGCCAAUGAGAUAGAAAUGGAGAGAAGGGCAAUAGCAGCUUGCACACGUCAAGGAUCUGCAGCGCAUGAAACCCCUUAAACUGAAGAUGAUGAUACAGACUCAGUUAAAACAGAUAUGGGUGCAAGUCAUGACACUUUUACAGAUUAAAGAUGUCCGAGAUUCACGAUGAAUGCUGUUUGAAGAAGAAUGAACAGAAUCACAUUUUAAUUUAAUCUCACUGCCAAUGUGGACUUAAAGAGGACGGGCUCUGUUAUGACAACUGUAUUUUUAAGUAACAGAGAUAAGGGUGUUAUUGGAAUCAUUUCAAUAAAAUAUGGGAGUACCGGUACAUACCAGUUUGAUAUCUUGAUUAGACUGGGACUUAAACUUAAACAAAAACGAUAGAUAUUGGACCUCUCUAAUACACAUUAUAAACAUCUCAUGUCUUAAGUCAAUAACAAAGCUGUAAUAAGGCGAUAUUUAGUGUAAUUAACACUUAGGGCUAUUCUCCUAAAACAUAUAACCACCGGGUUUGGCAGAUUUUUAAUAAUAUAUGGUUGGGCUUUUUUGCUAAUUUGCACCCCAAAAGGCACAUUUGCUUUUGUAUGGGGUUGGCAUAAAAACUUAAUAAAUGCCUUCCCUCCAGUGGUUAUAUUUUUAAAUGGACAAAAUAUCAAACUGGUAUGUACCUUAUCAACAUUUUUAGCUGGACUAUUUGAAUAAUAAGGAGGGUUAUACCACUCGCCUCAGCAUCUGCUUUGGCUUUAGCGUCCGGUUAAAGUUUAAGACCAAGUUGGGAUUUUCACUCAUAACUGCAAAACCCUUCAUUAAAGUCACUUAAUACUCCAUACAGUUGUUCAGGGUCAUUACAUAAUGAGGUUAAUACUUCAAUAGCCUUCAUUCAAUGGACUUAAUACCUUGCACAAUUAAUGAUGAACAUCUUACAAUAAGGUGACAUAACUCCAUUUUAACUAAAUACAAAUUAUUGCCCUUUUUUCAUUUUUAUUUCUUAUGUCAGGCACAUUUAUAUAUUCUUAACAGGGUUUUUGAAAGCUAAUUGUUUGGGCGGGCUGGUGGAAGGGUCUUCAAAGUCACCUUAUGUGUAAAAUAAUUUUAGCUAGGUUUGACAUAUAGUGACCAAACUUCGUAUGUAGGAAGCCUUUAUGAAGACCUUUCAUGAGAUUGCGUUUUAGGCUUCUGGGAUCAAUAUAAAGGUCAAAGUUACUAUUAAAAGCAAAAGAACUGGUAUUGAUUAACUUAAAGGUCGACAUAUUGUGACCAAACUUGGUUUAUAUGAAAGUUCAUACAGACUUUUUAUGCCCCCGAAGGUGGGCAUAUUAAAAUUGCACCGUCCGUCCGUCCGGCUCUGUAACUUUCCCUUGUAUGGACAGAUUUUAAAAUAACUUGCCAAAUGUGUUCCACAUACCAAGACGACGUGUGGCGUGCAAGACCCGUGUCCCUACCUCAAAGGUCAAGGUCACACUUAGUGUUUAUUCACAAUGGAGUGCUGCAUAUAAGGACAUAGAGUAUAGGUUGUCGUGUCCGGGCUGUAACUUUCUCUUGUAUGGACAGAUUUUAAAAUAACUUGCCACAUGUGUACCACAUACCAAGACGACGUGUCGCGUGCAAAACCCGUGUCCCUACCUCAAAGGACAAGGUCACACUUAGUGUUUAUUCACCAUAGAGUGCUGCAUAUAAGCAUAGAGUAUAGGUUGUCGUGUCCGGGCUGUAACUUUCCCUUGUAAAGACAGAUUUUAAAAUAACUUGCUACAUGUGUUCCACAUACGAAGACGACGUGUCCUGUGCAAGACCCAUGUCCCUACCUCUAAGGUGAAAGAUACACUAAGUGUUUAUUCACAAGGGAAUUCUGAAUAUAAGGACAUAACAGUGUAGGUUGUCAAGUAUGGGUGGUAUUUUUUUAUGUUCAGAGGAAAUUUAAAAUAACUUGCCAUAUGUAUUUGACACAUAAAGGCAAGAUCAACUUUUCAUGUACUGGCCUUGUUCGUAGGUCAAUGUCACAUUCGGGGGCAUUCGUCACAUACUGUGACAGCUCUUGUUUAUUGUGUUUUGGGUUAUGAUCUAGGUCAAAGUCAGUAUUGCUGAAAAGUACAAUUAUAGUUUGUACUGAAUAAGUAAGGGGUGACAAUGUGUGACCAAACUUGGUAUAUAUGACAAGUUAAUGGAGAGCUUUCAUUCGAAUGCCUUGGGCCCCUUAGGGUCAAUGUCACUGUUACUAAAAAAAUAUUACUUUUUGGUACUGAAUACCAUAAGUUAUGGUUGAUAUACUGUGACCAAACUUGAUAUAUAGGAAGAGUUUAUUGAGAACUUUCAUGAGAUUGUGUUUUGGGCGCAUAGGAUCUAGGUCACUGUUAUAAAAAUAGAAGACAGCAGUUGAAACUGAACUUCUUCUGCCAAUCCUUAACAAAACAAUUAUUGUCACAUCACGAUUCUUGUUUACUUUUUAAAUUGAUUUUUCUAUUGCUUUUGACAAGCACAUAUUACAUCAUAAUGUAAGAAGAUACAUUGUUAAAAAAAAACAGAAAAUGUUAAUUUGAAUAAGAGUGUCACUUCUUUUAAAUUUGUAGCUGUUUACUUACCAUGAAUUUAUCUUUAAAUACAACUUGUACUUUUUAUGUGUAGGGUACGAGUUGGACCAUAUUGAGAGAUUGUUUUAAAUAGCAUAUGCUAAAACAUACUGUGACUGUUGUUGCUGCCUUUUAAUUUUAUGAAAAGUAUUGCUUUAUUAUUUUUUUAAAUUCCAUAUUCUUAAGCUCCUAAUUCUUGUCAGGUAAUUUUUAAAUCAAAUUAAUUGUUAAAGUGACACUCUUAUUCAAAAUCAAUGCAUACAUAUGUAUAACAAACAUAUGUUUUGAGUGAUAAACCUUUAACUACUUACUAAAUAAUGCAUUGAUGGAACAUAUUUAUUACUGGUAGCAAGUUUGUAACCCUGUAUUUAAUAACAGAAAACGCAAAAAUAUUUAAUGAUUGAUGAAUGCUAAAAGAUUUACUGUGAUCUACUUUAAUAGUCUCAUAAGGUAGAUACACCAUGUUUUAUGCACAUUUCUUUCAAAUCAAAAUCGGUAUCCUUCAUGAGAACCAUUGCUUUCAACAUUCAUUAAUUCUUUUCACAGUAUUAAAACAAUAGUAUUAGUAGUGGUAAACCUUUUUGGGAGUAAGAGUGCAUCUUUAAAAAAUGUGUUUAAUGUGGAUAUAUUAUGAUCUAUGUGUCUUUGCACGUAUGCACUUGCUAGUAUUGCCUAAGAAUUUGACCUCUGAUAUUUUAUGUAGUAGUUAGAUGAUAUGAAGUAAAUUCUGUCAGAGUUAGUGGAACUAAUGAUCCAUUCUUAAUCAUUGAAAUGUACUAACAAGGCAUCUCACAGUCUUAUGUCUUUGUAUGCCUUUGAGGUUAUGUCUCCACAAAUCUUUAUCAUGGCCUGACAGUCUGCUUUCUUUAAUUUGUGUCUUUGUAUUAAAAAUAUGUAUUAUUUUUAAUACAUAUUUUAUUUAUAGUACUGCAUUUAUCUCCUAUCGAUUUUCAUGUUUUAUGUAACUUGAAACUUUCAUUAAGUUGUAAAAACAUUAAAUCUGUGAGAGUGUAGCUUUAAGAGAAACAUUAGUGAUUUUAGCAUCAAACUUGUUUUAUAUGUUCUUUUUAAGUUCUAGGUUAUUCUGUAAUCAUUAACCAUCAUUGUGCCAUAGAUAGACCUGUGAAAAAUUAUUAUAAUGUACUAUGUUAUAUUAUUGAAUAAAAUACUGAACAUGUUA